UGGGGAAUAUUGCACAAUGGGNGNAAGCCUGAUCCAGCAAUACCGCGUGUGUGAAGAAGGCCUGNGGGUUGUAAAGCACUUUCAAUUGUGAAGAAA
rnacentral:rRNA from 1 species